rnacentral:tRNA from 1 species
CGCGAGGUAGAGCAGCGGUAGCUCGAUGGGCUCAUAACCCAUAGGUCGGGAGUUCGAUUCUCCCCUUCGCUA